GAUGAACGCUGGCGGCGUGCUUAACACAUGCAAGUCGAACGGUGAAGCAGAGCUUGCUCUGGGGAUCAGUGGCGAACGGGUGAGUAACACGUGAGCAAUCUGCCCCUGACUCUGGGAUAACAGUUGGAAACAGCUGCUAACACCGGAUACGAGCUGCGAAGGCAUCUUCGGCAGCUGGAAAGAAUUUCGGUCAGGGAUGAGCUCGCGGCCUAUCAGCUUGUUGGUGAGGUAAUGGCUCACCAAGGCGUCGACGGGUAGCCGGCCUGAGAGGGUGACCGGCCAAACUGGGACUGAGACACGGCCCAGACUCCUACGGGAGGCAGCAGUGGGGAAUAUUGCACAAUGGGCGAAAGCCUGACGCAGCGACGCCGCGUGGGGGAUGAAGGUCUUCGGAUUGUAAACCCCUUUCGGGAGGGAAGAUGGAACGAGCAAUCGUUCGGACGGUACCUCCAGAAGCAGCCACGGCUAACUUCGUGCCAGCAGCCGCGGUAAAAC
rnacentral:rRNA from 1 species